rnacentral:rRNA from 1 species
UACAGAGGUGGCAAGCGUUGUUCGGAAUUACUGGGCGUAAAGCGUGCGCAGGCGGUUUUGUAAGACCGAUGUGAAAUCCCCGGGCUUAACCUGGGAACUGCAUUGGUGACUGCAAGGCUUGAGUGUGUCAGAGGGAGGUGGAAUUCCGCGUGUAGCAGUGAAAUGCGUAGAUAUGCGGAGGAACACCGAUGGCGAAGGCAGCCUCCUGGGAUAACACUGACGCUCAUGCACGAAAGCGUGGGGAGCAAACAGG